UUAUGGCUCAGGAUGAACGCCAGCUACAGGCUUAACACAUGCAAGUCGAGGGGCAGCAUGAUCGAAGCUUGCUUGAUGAUGGCGACCGGCGCACGGGUGAGUAACGCGUAUCCAACCUUCCCUGUAGUAGAGGAUAGCCCGGCGAAAGUCGGAUUAAUACUCUAUGUUGUAUUUAGAAGACAUCUGAAGAAUACCAAAGGUUUACCGCUAUAGGAUGGGGAUGCGUCUGAUUAGGUUGUUGGCGGGGUAACGGCCCACCAAGCCUACGAUCAGUAGGGGUUCUGAGAGGAAGGUCCCCCACAUUGGAACUGAGACACGGUCCAAACUCCUACGGGAGGCAGCAGUGAGGAAUAUUGGUCAAUGGACGUAAGUCUGAACCAGCCAAGUAGCGUGCAGGAUGACGGCCCUAUGGGUUGUAAACUGCUUUUAUAUAGGGAUAAAGUGCACUACGUGUAGUGUUUUGUAGGUACUAUAUGAAUAAGGACCGGCUAAUUCCGUGCCAGCCGCGGC
rnacentral:rRNA from 1 species